rnacentral:rRNA from 1 species
UAGGAGACAAGCGUUGUCCGGAUUUACUGGGCGUAAAGAGCGCGCAGGCGGUCGUUCAAGUCGAGUGUGAAAGCCCCCGGCUCAACUGGGGAGGGUCACUCGAUACUGAUCGACUCGAAGGCAGGAGAGGGAAGUGGAAUUCCCGGUGUAGUGGUGAAAUGCGUAGAUAUCGGGAGGAACACCAGUGGCGAAGGCGACUUCCUGGCCUGUUCUUGACGCUGAGGCGCGAAAGCUAGGGGAGCAAACGGG